UACGUAGGGGGCUAGCGUUGUCCGGAAUCCUUGGGCGUAAAGAGCGUGUAGGCGGCCCGGUAAGUCCGCUGUAAAAGUCAAAGGCUCAACCUUUGAAUGUCAGUGGAUACUGCCGGGCUAGAGUCCGGAAGAGGCGAGUGGAACUCCUGGUGUAGCGGUGGAAUGCGCAGAUAUCAGGAAGAACACCAACGGCGAAGGCAGCUCGCUGGGACGGUACUGACGCUGAGACGCGAAAGCGUGGGGAGCAAACAGG
rnacentral:rRNA from 1 species